rnacentral:misc_RNA from 1 species
GAUGAAGAACGCAGCGAAAUGCGAUACGUAAUGUGAAUUGCAGAAUUCAGUGAAUCAUCGAGUCUUUGAACGCACAUUGCGCCCCCUGGUAUUCCGGGGGGCAUGCCUGUCCCAGCGUCAUUGCUGCCCUCAAGCACGGCUUGUGUGUUGGGCCUCCGUCCUCCUCCCGGGGGACGGGCCCGAAAGGCAGCGGCGGCACCGCGUCCGGUCCUCGAGCGUAUGGGGCUUCGUCACCCGCUCUUGUAGGCCCGGCCGGCGCUUGCCGACACAUCAAUCUUUUUUCCAGGUUGACCUCGGAUCAGGUAGGGAUACCCGCUGAACUUAAGCAUAUCAAUAAGCGGGGA